rnacentral:lncRNA from 1 species
GAAAAACGCAAGACACGAAACUGUACUUAUGGGUAUGGUUCCAAUUUUAUCAAUAUAUAUCCAUAGGAACACACAAAGAAUGUGGAGGGGAAAAAAAACAAAAUAUCAACAGCAACUGUGGAUUUGGGGGUUGCAGAUCAUUUUCUUUUACACUUUUCGUUAUUUCCCAGAUAUUCUACAGCAAGUGUUCUCCAAGGACUCAAAACUCAGAGAAGGCGCCUGUGCUAGGAGCAGUAACUAGCUUUCCUUGUCUUUCUUCAUGCUUUUCUCCUGCACUAAGCACUGACACAGGCCUGGUGCUACCCUAGAACCUCCUCUGUGCCUCAGUUUCCCCUUCGGAACAACAGCUCAAAGGGCGGUUCCUUUGAGCCCUUUGGGAGGACCGCCCGACCUCGGCCCCUGGAAGUUCCGAACUGUCGGAAGAGCUCUCAGCCUCUGGGUUUGAGGCGGCCCGGGGGUCCAGCCAGCCCACCCUCGCUCCGCCGGUGCUCGCUCUAUUUGAAAACGCUGACUGUUGGUCCCCCAAGCAGCAGUCUGGAGUCAGCCCAGCCCGUCUGCAGCGGUGGAGCCAGGGCUAAGCCUUCUCCGGUCAUAAUGAGAGAACCCGGGCACCGCCCCCCGGGACCAAGCCUUCCGCGAAAUCUGCUUAUAGCCCCCGAGGGAUGGAGCCGGGGAGGGGAUUGGUGUCUGGGAAACUAGUCCUGAGAAACACGGACAUCACCCGGCAUCUUAGCUGGAAACAUCGAGUCAGACCCCUUCGCUUCACAGAAGGGGAAACUGAGGACCAAAGAAGGCGGCCGUCGGGUUGGCGUGGAAAGAGAGCCCUGGUUUCCAGUGCCACCGCGGACCUCAACCCGUGGCGUGGCCUUGGGACACAAAUCCAGGAGCCAUUCCUUCUGCCUGGGAGGAGGGAGUGAUGAAGACCAGAGGAAUCCCAGAGGAGAAGCCAUCUGAGAUCGGGAGGAGGAGAAAUGGAACAUCAGGCGGAGGAAACAGCCCAGACAAUCGCACUGGGACGUGAAAACCCUUGGGCUGCAUGCGGGGAGAAAACCAGAAUUGGGGAUGGUUAGGGUUUUGGAGGGAAACACAGGGACAUGUGACCAAAAAUAAUAAUAACUACUGUUACUUAUUGAGGACUUUCUAUGUACUAGAAUAAGAAAAUCAUGAUAGCUAAGACUGAUAAAACGCUAAGUGUCAAACGCUGUCUUCAGCACUUUACACAUAUUCACUUAUUUAAUUAAUCGGAGAAAAUAACUUUUAUGAGCCAGGGACUCUGCAUACAUUAUCUCUUUUCAUUAGCCCAGUAAUCCCAUGGGGUAGGUACUAGUACUAUCCCUGUUUUAGAAAUGAGGAAAUCAAACCUGAGAGGCUAAACCACUUGCCCAAGAUUACACAGCUAAUGUCAGUGCCUAGAUUCAAACCCACAUCCGUAUAACUCCAGAGCCUGAUGCAACACACCUUAUUUUCCAGGUGGAGAAACUGAUAAUGAGAGAGAAAUGACUUGCCUAAGAUCCCUCAGCAAGUUUUAGCAAAGCCUCGUUGUAGAAUCCCAGCCUCAAACCUCGUCCAUCUGUUCCUUUUUCUGAGCCUCUUUAGUCAAACCCAGGUUGACUAGAGAAGUGCUAAGUGUUGGAGAGGGCGAGGCACUCCUGAAGAUGAUGGGUAGGUAGGUCUAUCAAACCCUACUCAUGGGCACCCAUGAGGGAAAUCAAAUAAGUGGUUCUGGCCAUUAAUGUCGUUUGGGACUCCGUUAGUCUCCAGCUGCUGUAAAAUUCGUAUCUUUCUGUGAACCCGAAAUAUCUGAGAUAGGUCUCAGUCAAUUUAGAAGGUUAAUUUUGCCAAGCUUAAGAACGUGCUCAUGACACAGCCUCAGGAGGUCCCAACAUGUGCCCAGGGUGGUGGGGGUGUAGCCUCCUUUUAUAUAUUUUGGGGAGACAUGAGACAUCAAUCAAUAUGUGUAGGAUGUACAUUGCUUCCGGUCCGGUAAGGCAAGACAACUCCAAGCUGCAGAAAGGGUGGUGCUUCCAGGUUAUAAGUAGAUAAGAAACAGAAGAGGUUACAUUCUUUUGAGUCCUUGAUCAACCUUCCACUGAAUACACAAUUUAGUCUAGCUCAGUGAAUCUACAUUUUUACAUAAACAAUAGGGCAGAAGAAGCAAUCAGAUAUGCAUUUGUUUCCGGUGAGCCUCAGAGGGAUGGCUUUAAAUUCUGUCUGUCCUUUGUCCACAAGGAAUUUCCUUGUGUGAAAAUUGUGAGGAAGGUAUGUAGCUGUUUCUCUUUGUAGCUAUCUUAUUUAAGAAUAGGAUGGUGGCCUGGCAUUGUGGCUUAGGCCUGUAAUCCCAGCACUUUGGGAGGCCAAGGCGGGCAGAUCACCUGAGGUCAGGAAUUCGAGACCAGUCUGACCAAUGUGGCGAAACCCUGUCUCUACUAAAAAUACAAAAAAAAUUAGCCAGGCGUGGUGGCACACCUGUAAUCCCAGCUACUCAGGAGGCUGAGGCAGGAGAUCGCUUAAACCUCGGAAGGGGAGGUUGCAGUGAGCCAAGAUCACGC